AGAUUUGCAUUAGAAAAAAGGUUUAUGGGAAGGCAAGAAACUUACUAUUUAACUAUGUUAAGUUUAUUUGGAUGCCUGAAAGGCACCUGUAUGCUGUAUGCAUUCUAUCAAGUACAUUAGAAGGGCUAAACAGACAAAUAUUAUAAUACUAGCCCAGAAACAUAAUAAAUAAAGAAAAAAACUUGAAUGUUAGAAGAUUAUAACAUAUAAAGAACAAUGCAGGAACUAGGAUUCUGUUAUCGACAGGGCCACACCUUUUGUAAGAAAUGUUUUACCUACAUGUCGCAAAUAGUUAUAUGUAAUCUAUUCUUUUUAAGUUUUAUUGCAUGGUUUCUUCAAAAAAAGUAUAAAUGUUGUGUGAUUAAUGCAUUUCUGACUUAUCAAGACUGGAGGGCCAGCAAACAUACUAUAGAGUCAAUUGGCCGAUACAAAUCGAUAAAUUCUAGAAAAAUUCCGGGAGCGCAACUGCACAGCACGACGGCACAGGACCCUUGACCAACAAGAAGAUGAAACCGGAAGUGGCCUUCGCAAGUUGAACAGGCGUAUUCACACCGAAACGGUAACAGCGCAUCACCGGAUUGGGCAACUACAUUGGUCGCACUUUUCCUCGUUUAACUGCAAAGAAUGCUAUAUAUUGUCAAUAUUUUACAUAUUAUUCAAUGUA